GACAGAGGUGCCGAGCGUUAGGCGGAAUCACUGGGCUUAAAGCGUGUGUAGGCGGGUCGUUAAGUGUCUUGUGAAAUCCCACCGCUCAACGGUGGAACGGCUGGGCAUACUGGCGACCUUGAGGGACCCAGGGGCGAGCGGAACAAGCGGUGGAGCGGUGAAAUGCGUAGAUAUCGCUUGGAACGCCGACGGUGAAAACAGCUCGCUGGGGGUCACCUGACGCGUGAGAACACGAAAGCCAGGGGAGCAAACGGG
rnacentral:rRNA from 1 species